CUCUCCUUGUUGAAGCUUUUCACAAUUACACUUGUUCCUUGCUCGUGAAUCCAUCUUAGUACUAUCUGCAUGAUAUCCAAGUUAGAGAUUAACUUAAAUCAUAACAGUCAUCACAAUCUAGUAGUGUGCAUAUGAUAUUUGAACCUGAGGAGAGAUGGUAGCAUUUUCCAAGAGUAGGGACAGCGUUUUGAUGCCAAAGUUGCUAACACCAAUAGACUUGGCCAAGCCUAAUCUAUAACAAUCUUCCAUAGCUUUCCAUGUUCCUUUAAUUUCAAAGGGAAUCACAUCCUUUCCUGUAAAGUUAAAGCCUUCAAUGUCUGGUUUCAACCUCACUGGCCAGUGAAUCAAGUAGAGAUCUACAUACUCCAUCUUCAGCUUUCUAAACAUUCCAACCAAAA